rnacentral:rRNA from 1 species
UACGUAGGGUGCAAGCGUUGUCCGGAAUUAUUGGGCGUAAAGAGCUUGUAGGCGGUUUGUCGCGUCUGCUGUGAAAUUUCGGGGCUCAACCCCGAACUUGCAGUGGGUACGGGGCAGACUAGAGUGUGGUAGGGGAGACUGGAAUUCCUGGUGUAGCGGUGAAAUGCGCAGAUAUCAGGAGGAACACCGAUGGCGAAGGCAGGUCUCUGGGCCAUAACUGACGCUGAGAAGCGAAAGCAUGGGGAGCGAACAGG